rnacentral:rRNA from 1 species
UGGGGAAUAUUGCACAAUGGGCGCAAGCCUGAUGCAGCAACGCCGCGUGAGGGACGACGGCCUUCGGGUUGUAAACCUCUUUUAGUAGGGAAGAAGCGAAAGUGACGGUACCUGCAGAAAAAGCACCGGCUAACUACGUGCCAGCAGCCGCGGUAAUACGUAGGGUGCGAGCGUUGUCCGGAAUUAUUGGGCGUAAAGAGCUCGUAGGCGGUCUGUCGCGUCUGCUGUGAAAACCCGAGGCUCAACCUCGGGCCUGCAGUGGGUACGGGCAGACUAGAGUGCGGUAGGGGAGAAUGGAAUUCCUGGUGUAGCGGUGGAAUGCGCAGAUAUCAGGAGGAACACCGAUGGCGAAGGCAGUUCUCUGGGCCGUAACUGACGCUGAGGAGCGAAAGCGUGGGGAGCGAACAGGAUUAGAUACCCUGGUAGUCCACGCCGUAAAACGUUGGGCGCUAGAUGUGGGGACCAUUCCACGGUUUCCGUGUCGCAGCUAACGCAUUAAGCGCCCCGCCUGGGGAGUACGGCCGCAAGGCUAAAACUCAAAUGAAUUGACGGGGUCAUAGCUGUUCCU